rnacentral:rRNA from 1 species
CGACCCCUAAGGCGAGGCCGAAAGGCGUAGUCGAUGGGAAACAGGUUAAUAUUCCUGUACUUGGUGUUACUGCGAAGGGGGGACGGAGAAGGCUAUGUUAGCCGGGCGACGGUUGUCCCGGUUUAAGCAUGUAGGCUGAUUGUCCAGGCAAAUCCGGAUAAUCAAGGCUGAGGUGUGAUGACGAGGCACUACGGUGCUGAAGUAACAAAUGCCCUGCUUCCAGGAAAAGCCUCUAAGCAUCAGGUAACAUUAAAUCGUACCCCAAACCGACACAGGUGGUCAGGUAGAGAAUACCAAGGCGCUUGAGAGAACUCGGGUGAAGGAACUAGGCAAAAUGGUACCGUAACUUCGGGAGAAGGCACGCUGGUGUGUAGGUGAAGUCCCUGCGGAUGGAGCUGAGAC